AAGCAAAUUGCCGAUGGCAAAGAAGUAGAUGUCUCAAGUAAGAAGCCGAGAAGAUCCGGCCGAAAGAGAAAGGAGCUGGAUCUAGAGAGGACCUCAACAAUCCCACUGAAUAAAAGAAGAACAAUUCGAUCUCUGGCACGGUCUCUAGGUGUGGCUCGAUCGACCCUACACAAGAGGUUCCAGUUGAAUGAGCUCAACGGCAUCACAAGCACCGUGAAGCCUCACCUAAAGCUAGAGAACAAGCUUGCGAGACUGAAAUUUUGUAUGUCCAUGGUCGAUGACAAUUCGAUCUCAACUUCUCAGGCUAUGUUCAAACCAAUGACGAAUAUGGUUCACAUCGAUGAAAAGUGGUUUGACAUGACGAGAGUGAAGAAUAGUUACUAUGUACUUCCAGGAGAACCUGAACCGAAGCGCACUGUGUCAAACACUCACAACAUUGGGAAGGUAAUGUUCCUAACAGUUGUUGCCAGGCCUCGAUAG
rnacentral:rRNA from 1 species